rnacentral:tmRNA from 1 species
GGGGUUGACUGGAUUUGACAGCGGGUUGAGAUGGUACGUAAGCAUGCGGAGUGACGGCUGUAUACUCCAUAAUCCAUUCGGUCGACAAUUAAUUGGCAACAAUGAGUAUGCUCUCGCUGCCUAAUCGAAGUAUAGUAGAUUACCGGCUUAAUUCUCUUACAAGGUAGGAGAACGAGACGUCGCUCCAUGGAUGUAGUUCCGAAUCUUAUGGGCAAAGCGGCGCAGGCAAAUCGGAAAUAGCCAUUCUUGGCUCCGCAAGGGUGGUGAAAUUUCAGGAGAUAAGGCUCCGGUUGGUGGUCCAGGUCUUGCCGUAGCACGAAAAUCAAAGUCUGGAAUAAGCAUGUAGAAAGCGUAUGGUUUCCUCGUUUGGACGUGGGUUCGAAUCCCACCAGCUCCACC